rnacentral:rRNA from 1 species
AUUGAACGCUGGCGGCAGGCCUAACACAUGCAAGUCGAGCGGAUGAAGGGAGCUUGCUCCUGGAUUCAGCGGCGGACGGGUGAGUAAUGCCUAGGAAUCUGCCUGGUAGUGGGGGAUAACGUCCGGAAACGGGCGCUAAUACCGCAUACGUCCUGAGGGAGAAAGUGGGGGAUCUUCGGACCUCACGCUAUCAGAUGAGCCUAGGUCGGAUUAGCUAGUUGGUGGGGUAAAGGCCUACCAAGGCGACGAUCCGUAACUGGUCUGAGAGGAUGAUCAGUCACACUGGAACUGAGACAGGGUCCAGACUCCUACGGGAGGCAGCAGUGGGGAAUAUUGGACAAUGGGCGAAAGCCUGAUCCAGCCAGGCCGCGUGUGUGAAGAAGGUCUUCGGAUUGUAAAGCACUUUAAGUGGGGAGGAAGGGCAGUAAGUUAAUACCUUGCUGUUUUGACGGUACCAACAGAAUAAGCACCGGCUAACUUCGUG